rnacentral:rRNA from 1 species
UAGGGAAUCUUCGGCAAUGGACGGAAGUCUGACCGAGCAACGCCGCGUGAGUGAAGAAGGUUUUCGGAUCGUAAAGCUCUGUUGUAAGAGAAGAACGAGUGUGAGAGUGGAAAGUUCACACUGUGACGGUAUCUUACCAGAAAGGGACGGCUAACUACGUGCCAGCAGCCGCGGUAAUACGUAGGUCCCGAGCGUUGUCCGGAUUUAUUGGGCGUAAAGCGAGCGCAGGCGGUUAGAUAAGUCUGAAGUUAAAGGCUGUGGCUUAACCAUAGUACGCUUUGGAAACUGUUUAACUUGAGUGCAAGAGGGGAGAGUGGAAUUCCAUGUGUAGCGGUGAAAUGCGUAGAUAUAUGGAGGAACACCGGUGGCGAAAGCGGCUCUCUGGCUUGUAACUGACACUGAGGCUCGAAAGCGUGGGGAGCAAACAGGAUUAGAUACCCUGGUAGUCCACGCCGUAAACGAUGAGUGCUAGGUGUUAGACCCUUUCCGGGGUUUAGUGCCGCAGCUAACGCGUUAAGUCGACCGCCUGGGGAGUACGGCCGCAAGGUUA